GCCGGUUUGGCUCAGUGGGUAGAGCAUUGGUCUGCGGACCAAAGGGUCCCUGGUUCGAUUCCAGUCAAGGGCA
rnacentral:tRNA from 1 species